AAGAAGUUAGUUAAUUCAUAAUAAAAACUUGUCAAGUUUUAGUUACUACUAAGUUAGUAUUUCUUU